UCUCCUACGGGAGGCAGCAGUGGGGAAUAUUAAACAAUGGGGGCAACCCUGAUCCAGCAAUGCCGCGUGUGUGAAGAAGGUCUUCGGAUUGUAAAGCACUUUCGAUGGGGACGAUAAUGACGGUAUCCACCGAAGAAGCCCCGGCUAACUUCGUGCCAGCAGCCGCGGUAAUACGAAGGGGGCUAGCGUUGCUCGGAUUAUUGGGGGUAAAAGGGCGCUAGGGGAAUGAUAAAUUCAGAUGUGAAAUCCACGGGCUUAACGUGGGAAUGGCAUGGAAAACGUCCUUAUUGAGUGCAGAAGAGGAGAGUGGAAAUUCCUGUGGUGGGGUGGAAUUUGUAGAUAUAUGGGAAGAACACCGGUGGGGAAGGGGGUAUCUUGUCUGCAAAUGAACGUUGGGGUGGGAAACAUGGGGGGGCAACAAGGUUUAAUUACCUGGGUAGUCCACCGUAAAAGAUGAGUUGUUAGAUGGUGGAGAUUUAGUCAUCAGUGCCGCAGUUAACGCAUUAAGCACUCCGCCUGGAGACGCGAGUGU
rnacentral:rRNA from 1 species